rnacentral:rRNA from 1 species
CAAUAGCGUAUAUUAAAGUUGUUGCAGUUAAAAAGCUCGUAGUUGGAUUUCUGGUUGAAGCGACCGGUCGGGCGUUGAUUCGUCUGCACUGGAGUCGGUUUUGGCCAUCCUCUAGGAAAGUGCGUCUGGUAUUAAGUUAUCGGGCGUAUGAUCCUGGUCUUUUACUGUGAAAAAAUUAGAGUGCUUAAAGCAGGCCUUCGCCUUGAAUACAUUAGCAUGGAAUAAUAAGAUAGGACUUUGGUCUAUUUUGUUGGUUUGCAGACCGAAGUAAUGAUUAAUAGGGAUAGUUGGGGGUAUUUAUAUUCCGAUGUCAGAGGUGAAAUUCUUAGAUUUUCGGAAGAUAAACUUAUGCGAAAGCAUUUACCAAGGAUGUUUUCAUUA